rnacentral:rRNA from 1 species
GAUGAACGCUAGCUACAGGCUUAACACAUGCAAGUCGAGGGGAAACGACAUCGAAAGCUUGCUUUUGAUGGGCGUCGACCGGCGCACGGGUGAGUAACGCGUAUCCAACCUGCCCACCACUCGGGGAUAACCUUGCGAAAGUAAGACUAAUACCCAAUGACGUCUCUAGAAGACAUCUGAAAGAGAUUAAAGAUUUAUCGGUGAUGGAUGGGGAUGCGUCUGAUUAGCUUGUUGGCGGGGUAACGGCCCACCAAGGCGACGAUCAGUAGGGGUGCUGAGAGGAAGGUCCCCCACAUUGGGACUGAGACACGGUCCAAACUCCUACGGGAGGCAGCAGUGAGGAAUAUUGGUCAAUGGGCGAGAGCCUGAACCAGCCAAGUAGCGUGCAGGAUGACGGCCCUAUGGGUUGUAAACUGCUUUUAUAAGGGAAUAAAGUGAGUCUCGUGAGACUUUUUGCAUGUACCUUAUGAAUAAGGACCGGCUAAUUCCGUGCCAGCCGCCGCCGUAA